CCUACGGGGGGCAGCAGUGGGGAAUAUUGGACAAUGGGGGGAACCCUGAUCCAGCCAUGCCGCGUGUGUGAAGAAGGCCCUCGGGUUGUAAAGCACUUUCAGUGAGGAAGAACGCCUGGUGGUUAAUACCCAUCAGGAAAGACAUCACUCACAGAAGAAGCACCGGCUAACUCCGUGCCAGCAGCCGCGGUAAUACGGAGGGUGCGAGCGUUAAUCGGAAUUACUGGGCGUAAAGCGCGCGUAGGUGGCUUGAUAAGCCGGUUGUGAAAGCCCCGGGCUCAACCUGGGAACGGCAUCCGGAACUGUCAAGCUAGAGUGCAGGAGAGGAAGGUAGAAUUCCCGGUGUAGCGGUGGAAUGCGUAGAGAUCUGGAGGAAUACCAGUGGCGAAGGCGGCCUUCUGGACUGACACUGACACUGAGGUGCGAAAGCGUGGGUAGCAAACAGGAUUAGAUACCCUUGUAGUC
rnacentral:rRNA from 1 species